GAAAAAUAUGAAGGAGCUAAACCUGUUUUUGAGAUAGGAGGACAAGAAGCCCUUGAGGGCCUAGUAAAAUCUCAUUAAGGAAACUAACUAAUCCAAACCAAACGACAGGAGUCACGUCAACUCCAGCAAGCGGAGGAAUCAAUUUUCGUGUUGCGCCAAGAAAGGGCUCUGUGGGUGCAUAAGCUAUGACAUAUGGGAACUUGCCAACUGGAAGCUUAGGAUACCAGGACAUGACUAUUCUCAAAAUGAACAGAAAGGCAAAUGCUGAUAGGAAUGGGCCAAGAAAGCUGAUUGCCAGUUUUGCUGUGCCAGGGUCUAAAUCUAACAGCACCAAUCUUUGCUCCAGUGGUGAGGUAUCUAUUGCACCGUGUUUCAAGACAUUAAUAACUUCUUCUGAAUUGAGAGGACCAUUUGACUGAACGCCGUCCAGAUAAGAACAUGCUCUUAACCUUUGUAAAUAUCUUCUUCUCACGGGUAUUAGGGAGUUUCCAUUGGUAUGGGAGUGUAACAAAGCAGAUGGGUAUCCAUUCGAUAGAGGUGGCCUGCAAAUAAGGGAAGAUAUAGUCAUUUCUCUCUCUCUCUCUCCUUCUGAGAAA
rnacentral:misc_RNA from 1 species